rnacentral:tRNA from 1 species
GGCCCGUUAGCUCAGUUGGUUAAAGCGUCGUGCUAAUAACGCGAAGGUCGUGGGUUCGAUCCCCACACGGGCCA